UGAGAAGGAUGCUAGAUUUAGCAGAUAAAACACAGGUACAUGCUAAGACUCUUAUUCAUGGUUCAUCUAGAACUCAGAUAGGUGUCCUGCAUCUUAUCUGGCAACCUUAUUUACUGAGCACUUACGUUCUCCCAGGUAUGUGUGAGAUGUAGCCAAGGCUCAAAAUAAAACUAGAGGGAGGCAUCGUGAUCCUCCUCAUUCUUGGGUGGGGACAACAGAAUGUGAAAGGUGAGGUGCUUCCUGGGCUCGCCCCACCCGUCGGGAGCAGUGUGGGGUUUCUAAGAAGAUUGUGGUUGCCCAGGUUUCCCGCUCCCUCACUCCACUUCCAUCCUUUUUCUUCAGUCAAAUACGGGGAGAGCUCUUCCUGAGCAGAGCAGAGAAAGGAGGCCCCGGGCAGUGGCGACUGCUGCUUUGCUGGUGCUGCCAGAGAAAAGCGUUACCACCUGGCCUGGGCGCUCCUCUGGGCUGGGUGUGGGGCAGGGGAAGGGACUCAGCUUUUCGCAGGCUCCUGGGCGAUGCUGGGUCAUGCUGUGAGGAGCGCUCUGGGGCCUGGGCUCUGGCAGAGGAGGAAAGGUGCAGUGGUGCGUACAGAGAUGCCUGGGGGCUCCUGGCACACCCUGUGUGAGCGGCACCCGCUCUUCCUCAUCUUCGCCAUCGCUGGUCAUACAGAUGGUGCUGGUGUUGGAAGUGACUCUCUGAUGACAGAAUGGAGGCUCUAACAUUGGGGGACCUUGAAGGAGCUGUAAGAAUCAACCUCUGCACCGAUUAAAAACACCAUCAUUGGAACAGUGUGACAAACGGUAGUCCGUUCACUUUUGAAUGGAAAUCACUUAAUAUUAGAACAAAGGACAAAUAUUUUAUUUUUCCUUUAUACAUUUAUUUUUAUUUUUAUUUUUUUGAGAUGGGUUCUCCCUAAGUUGCCCAAACUGACCUUGAACUGUGAUCCUCCUGCCUGAGCCUCCGGAGUCACAGGGAUGGAGGGGAAGCAGUUCUCGCCCAGCCGAUGGCAGCCGUCCUGGGUUGGAUGGGAUUGGGUCGGGUUCCGCUUUGGGUUUCUAGUCUGCAGUUUUUCUCCAGGAGUUUCCUGGGUCCUGUUUGUUGACCUGCUCAAGCUCUGUGUGCUGUCCUCUGCCUGCGGAGCUCUAGUCCGUCAAGGCCACCUGCCCUUCCCAAAGGCCUGCCUUGCUGUGGCCCCGCGCCUUCCCGGUGCUCCUGGCAAGAGCAGGGAGCUCUGCCGCGGCCUGCCCCGGCCUGCUCAGGACCUCCCAGCGCUUCUGCAGCCCAGUGACUCAGCGUGACUUAGCAACCUGACUUUUCACGGAGCCUGGAUAUUCUGCCGCUCAGCCAACGCGGGCAAACAUCCACAUGCUGCACAGAGGGACAGCUGUUUAAAGGAGCGACGCGGCCCUGACCUGCAGAGGGGUUUCCUGCAGAGGCCUGCUGUGGGACCUGGCCAGCCUCCCCGUUUCUGCUCAGGACCACGGGCACACAGGGAAGGACACAGAACCUGCACCCUGUCCCCGUGCAGAGCUCUGCUGUUUUCUAGUAGCUAGUGGCGACUGUCCAACCGAACACAGAGACAGAGUCCGAGUGGAGGGGUGUCACAGAGCUGGGGGGGCGUGGUGCGUGGGUGGCAGUGUCGAGCCCCAUUUUGGUUGAAGGUGGGUGAGGGCCGAGGCCAGGUGGGCCAUGGUGAUUCUUCAUUCAGUGCCUCCAAGACCUGGGAGCCCGCAGCGGAGUGAGUGUCUCGUCAAUGUCUUUAAGAAGAGGCCCAUGGAGAGCUAGCCUUGCGGGGCCCACGACGGACAGUGCUCCCCUGGAAGUUGGAUUUGAGCCCCUGGGAUAGCUGCGCAGGAAACAGAGCCAAGCAGAGGGUGACGGCUGAUGUUGGAUAGACACCCACGGUGAAAUGGGUGCACGGCAGGCCGGUGAACACAGCCUACACCCACGUGGUCACCUUUCUUCUUGGUCAGAGGACCUGAAGUCUGCUGUCUUGGCAGACUUCCCAUGCACAGCGCAGUAGCAUUGGCCCGUCCUCCUGCUGUGCCUUAGGUCUCUGGGCUAAUUCAUCCUGUAAACUGCAACUUCCACACUGGGACCUUCGCCUCCCCGUGUCCCUGUGACGCCAUGACUGCUCUGUUUCUAUGCAGGCAGGGUCCUUUUUUAUUUUAAAAUAUGACAUUUUGUUCACCAUGGA